rnacentral:rRNA from 1 species
CCUCGGGAGGCAGCAGUGGGGAAUAUUGGACAAUGGGCGAAAGCCUGAUCCAGCCAUGCCGCGUGUGUGAAGAAGGCCUUCGGGUUGUAAAGCACUUUCAGUGGGGAAGAAAGCCUUGGGGCUAAUACCCUCGAGGAAGGACAUCACCCACAGAAGAAGCACCGGCUAACUCCGUGCCAGCAGCCGCGGUAAUACGGAGGGUGCGAGCGUUAAUCGGAAUUACUGGGCGUAAAGCGCGCGUAGGCGGUCUGAUAAGCCGGUUGUGAAAGCCCCGGGCUCAACCUGGGAACGGCAUCCGGAACUAACAGGCUAGAGUGCAGGAGAGGAAGGUAGAAUUCCCGGUGUAGCAGUGAAAUGCGUAGAGAUCGGGAGGAAUACCAGUGGCGAAGGCGGCCUUCUGGACUGACACUGACGCUGAGGUGCGAAAGCGUGGGUAGCAAACAGGAUUAGAUACCCCAGUAGUC